UAAAAAUACUCUGAUCAAAAAAGUCAGAGAAACUGAUCCCUUCAAAUAUCUUUGGCUCUGACAAACUUUCCUCUCUCUGAAGCUUUGAAACAAAAGAUUCCCAGCCAGUUCUACUGACAUGUUCCGGGUCUGAAGAUCUCCAGUUCUCCUUAUCCAUUGUGUGAAUCAGACCUGGUUUCAGUCCUGAUAUCUGCAUGCCACUGAGCUUCUAAGUCUGGGAGAGAUCCUAACAGCUGAUAAGUAGCAGCACAAAUGGAUUUACAUGUAAAUUCAUCCCAUGAUGAUACUGUCUAGCAGAAAAGAACAUGGCUUUCCAGGGCUUGCCUGCCUCAGUUCAAGGGGUAGCAAGUUCCUCUGUGAAGCUGGCUCACGUGUUCAAUGUUUGCAGGGCUGAGACCAGAGGAAAGAAAGAGAAAUCAGCAAUCAUUGUUAGAUCCUUGCCUUUUGGGACAAUGGCCAUUGCUGCAUUAUGCACAUGUACUAUGCCAAGGAGAAUGGUGCCGAGGCUGUGUGCUGCUGUUUGUUGAAGGAAGAUUAAAUACAACUGCACUGCAUGAAGGAGAAGACACCUGGGGAGAACUAAGAGCUUUGGGAGGCCCAGAACAAAUAUUGGACACAGGUCAACAAAUCUGUAGCUGAAUCAGGCAAACAGCCAAAAUGCUACACAUGAAUUGCGGGCAGUGCUUCACAUCAAGUUGGAGGAGAUCGGUGUGACCGAGCUGUUUCUGAAAUGUUUCUCUUUUUCAAUGUAGGAAGGAGAGCUAGAUUUCUUGCUCUCAUGUCAUAUGCUGGGAAUGGCUAAACUGAAGGAAGACAGGAAAAAAAGCGAGCCCAGAUGAAAAUAUUGAACAAAAUACAUAAAAAAAAUAUUGAACCAGGAUAGUCCUUGUAUAUGCUGAAUAUGUCAUUCGAUAUACAAAGGCAUCUAUAAAGGAAGCUGCAUCAUGAUUUUGCUAACGAUAUGCACUGGCAGUGGAGGAACUGGGACACUGUCAGCAUCCAGGCUACUUUGCUUAUCAGCGGUUGCUAGAAUUAAACCCCAGUGCACGGAAUCAAGCCUCACCACCGUGUAAAGUUCCUGCACAAGACCCUCAGAGUCCCUCUUCAUCCUUCAGCACAGAGCUGAGGUGUGUAAAAGGUGUGCUGACUUACUCACAAAGUCAUCUUUCAUCUUUUCUUGUCUAUGGCCCUGCGAAUGGAAUCAAAUGGACAUGGCCAGGCUUUUCUUCCCAAAACUCUUUGCCUUAUUCUUCGUUUCACCUUUAAAUUACUAGAUGCUGUGUUUCACAGAACAGCUCCAAAGAAAGACACGAGGCAACUGCUUCAUUUAACACUGCUUGACAAAGCGAUCUCGCAUGACCUCCCAGCAGCAACCUGCUCACUCAUUUUAAGUACAGUGUAAUUGCUGAAUGUCUGACUCACCUCACUGUCUUUCAAGUGCACUUCUGUGCCUACAUUUUUAGGCAUGACUUUAAAAUAUGGUGCUAAACAUUAUCUGCUCAUUUUUCUAUAUUGCGGUGCUGUUCUCGAAAGGAUGUCCGUCAAUCAAAUGGAUGCUUAACCUUUUCUUCUGAGAGGAGAAAAUAAUGUGGGAUAAUAUUCAUUGGUCUAUGAGAAAUGGGAACCUGAAAGCUUCACG
ensembl:lncRNA